rnacentral:rRNA from 1 species
AGAGCUUGCUCUUAUGAAGUUAGCGGCGGACGGGUGAGUAACACGUGGGUAACCUGCCCAUAAGACUGGGAUAACUCCGGGAAACCGGGGCUAAUACCGGAUAACAUUUUGAACCGCAUGGUUCGAAAUUGAAAGGCGGCUUCGGCUGUCACUUAUGGAUGGACCCGCGUCGCAUUAGCUAGUUGGUGAGGUAACGGCUCACCAAGGCAACGAUGCGUAGCCGACCUGAGAGGGUGAUCGGCCACACUGGGACUGAGACACGGCCCAGACUCCUACGGGAGGCAGCAGUAGGGAAUCUUCCGCAAUGGACGAAAGUCUGACGGAGCAACGCCGCGUGAGUGAUGAAGGCUUUCGGGUCGUAAAACUCUGUUGUUAGGGAAGAACAAGUGCUAGUUGAAUAAGCUGGCACCUUGACGGUACCUAACCAGAAAGCCACGGCUAACUACGUGCCAGCAGCCGCGGUAAUACGUAGGUGGCAAGCGUUAUCCGGAAUUAUUGGGCGUAAAGCGC